CCUAUUGGGAUGCUAAACGAAACAUACGGUUUCUCAUUCUCCCUUCUCCACUACUGUCAGCAAACUCUCUUCCAUAGGAUACCACAUCUAAUCGAUCUGUUCUUCAAUCUUCCACUCGAUCUCUCUAUCACUAGUAGGAGCUCUCACUCUGUAUUGGGGAUUUGAUUCAAUCUUCGAGUCGAUCUCUCUGUCACUAGAAAGUGCUCUCACUCUGUAUUAGGGAUUUGAUUCAAUCUUCCACUCGAUCUCUCUAUCACUUCUAGGAGCUCUUACUCCGUAUUGGGGAUUUUAUUCAAUCUUCCACUCGAUCUCUCUAUCACUGGUUGAAACUUUCACUCUGUAUUGGGGAUUUGAUGCGGAUUUUGACGUUCAACAAGUUGUUUAGGGUUUAUUAAUUUAAGGGAAAUUUUGGAGAGAAAUGUGGCAUUGGUUGGGGUUAAGAGGAGGAGGAUAUGCACCAGCAACUAAUAUGAAGAAGGAUUCUACUCUCUAAAAUCUAUAAGCGAGCAAUAGAGUUUCAUUGAAAUCCAUUCAAGCCUAAGCAUAUCAGGGUUUAUUAUUGGUGGAUGAAGCAAACUAUUCAACUUUUACUUCACGAGCAUUCUAGCAGGACAACAAUUUCUAGUUGAUUGACUCAAAAACAUCUGCCAUACAUUAAGAUCACAAAGGGCAUGAGGGAACUUGACGAGAAGAAUUCAGAAACAAAGGUAAAGUGGGAGGAUAACACAACUAGAUCAAAAUGGGUUACUGUCAAUCACGCUACUUUCUUAGUUAUUUUUCAAAGGUUAUUAGCAGCCCUAGUUCCUCAGAAAGUAAUUUGAUUUUUGGAUGGGCUCAUGCUACGAGACUUCAAGCUCUUUUUGUUUAAGAUGGUUUAAAGUAGUGUAUAUCCAGGUCUUUAAACCCUUUGUUUAGGAAUUUAUAGCUCAUUUUUGUCUAAGAUCUUGAAACGUUUUAUUUAAGAUACUAACCUAUUUUGGUCCAAAUUAUUGGAGUUGAAAUUGUUUUAGCUACGAAGACUCAUUUUUUUUACGCGAUGGGCUUUAUUAUGUAUGUUGUAAAUAAUAUAUUUUUUUGUUGGUGUAACUUAUGCAAUAUCAAGUAUUUAUUUGUUUGCAUAA